AAUAAAUGCGGUUUUGCACUAUUUAUGUCCAACGUUCGAUUGUUCAUCUUAUUUGAAUAUUUUUAUGAUUAAUAUUUUUUAUUGUUAUUAAAUGAUAAAACAUGAAUAACACUUUAUGUGUGACUAUUUUUUUUAAUCUUUUAUAAAUUUUUCAAAUAAGACGGACAAUCAAACGUUGGACACGGAUACCCACGGCUGCACUUAUU
rfam:Oryza sativa (indica cultivar-group) chromosome 8, whole genome shotgun sequence.